AUUGAACGCUGGCGGCAGGCCUAACACAUGCAAGUCGAGCGGAGCGGCGGACGGGUGAGUAAUGCCUAGGAAUCUGCCUGGUAGUGGGGGAUAACGUCCGGAAACGGGCGCUAAUACCGAAUACUAUCAGAUGAGACUAGGUCGGAUUAGCUAGUGGGUGGGUUAAGGGCCUACCAGUGCGACGAUCCGUAACUGGUAGGAGAGGAUGAUAAGUCACAGUGGAACUGAGAAACGGUCCAGACUCCUCCGGGAGGCAGCAUGGGGGAAUAUUGGACAAUGGGCGAAAGCCUGAUCCAGCCAUGCCGCGUGUGUGAAGAAGGUCUUCGGAUUGUAAAGCACUUUAAGUUGGGAGGCGUUACCAACAGAAUAAGCACCGGCUAACUUCGUGCCAGCAGCCGCGGUAAUAC
rnacentral:rRNA from 1 species